GGAGAAUCGUCCUAUACUUGCUUCUAAUUUAUUUCGUCAUAGCUCAAUACAUAGUUGCGUUUCUCAAUUUACAAUCAUCAAAGGAGUAAAUAUUCAUUCUAUAUUCUGCAGCUGACGAAAUAACGUUUCAAUUUGUUUUGCAAAGCUAAAUAUCACCAACAAAACCUCAAAGCAGUUCCGCUGCACCAUAAAGUAGAGAUACAACACAAAGCCGUAUUACAUUCUCUGACUCAAACCACAAAAUCACUCCCCCUUUUGACGCUUUGAGCUUGGUGGCAGUGGAGGAUCGCGACGCUCAUGCGAAGAACUUGCAUUCUCUGUGUUUUCUUGCGCCUGUGUUUGACGACCAUCGCUUCCAUCUUCAGCCAUAUUUGAUCGCUCACUAGGUAAAUUAGCUGAUGAUGUUCCAUUGGUUUCAGAAAUAAUUGGCAUGAUAUGACGUAGAAUAUUUGAUAGAAAAACCCCGUCAUCUCUUGCUGCUUCUGUCCCCUGAGAAUUGCUAUUGUUUUCAGCUUCCACACCAUCUCCACUAGAGGAAUUCAUACUUACACCACGAUCAUUAACAUUCUCAGGAUGAAUAGAUUCCCCAGAGAAUAAUGACCUCAGAAGUUGGUCAACACUACUUUGGUACUGAGCAGAAAACUCGUCACCAUUUGAUGCUUCACUGAAUGAGCUAAAGUUACCUUCAACACUAGGAAGUCCAGCAUUUUGUUGUUGCCCAGCAGAAUCAGGAUUAGCUGGGUCUCGAGUGUCAAUACCAUGUAAAUUAUUUUGAUCAGAUUCUUGAGAAGCUCCUGAACUGUUAGAAUUCCCAGAACUGACAUGUUGCACUCUAGCUAAAACUGGAUAGAAUAUUCCCAUGGGAUUUCGAACUGAAUCAGAAGUUGAACGCCCAAUGGAAGCUGGAACUGCAGUAACUACAGUCCUAAUAGGAACUACCCGC
rnacentral:misc_RNA from 1 species